AUGCACGCAGCCCUCCGCCCUCCCGCGGCCCUCACUCGCUCUCCGCUCCCCGGGAUCGCCCCUCAUCCUCCUCGCCUCCUCUCCUGCCUCUGCUCCUGCUGCAGUGAACCGCCCUCCGGCCGCCCAACACUCACGCUCUGCAAGCUGCGGUGCCAGUACUUUUCUCUGCCUGGAAGCUCUCCACACGCUUUCCCCACUAAGUCCUGCACGUCCUUUGCUACAAGUCAAACGUCACUUCCUCUGAGACCCGGAAACAUCAGGUCCUUCACCACUUGUUCCACCACUUUCUCCAGCAAUUACCAAUCCCUGGGCUCAGUCCAGGCACCCAGCUACAGUGUCUGGCCUGCCAGCAGCACAGCCAGUGUCUAUGCAGGAGCCAGGGGAUCAGGCUCCCAGAUCUCUGUGUUCCAAUUCACCAGCUUCUGGGGUGGCUGGAGGUCUGGGGCCUUGGCCACCGGGAUAGCCAGGGGUCUGGCAGGAAUAGGAGGCAUCCAGACCGAGAAAGAGACCAUGCAAGAACUGAACGACCACCUGGCCUCCUACCUGGACAGAGUGAAGAAUCUGGACAGCAAUAAUCAGAGACUGGAGAGCAAAAUCCAGGAACACCUGGAGAAGAAGGGGCUCCAUGUCAGACACUGGGCACAUUACUUCAAGACCAUCGAGGACCUGAGGGCUCAGAUCUUUGCAAAUGCUGUGGAAAAUGCUGGCAUCAUUCUGCAGAUUGACAAUGCCUGUCUUGCUGCUGAUGACUUUAGAGUCAAGUAUGAGACAGAGCUGGCCAUGUGCCAGUCUGUGGAGAGCGAUACCCAUGGGCUCCGCAAAGUCAGUGACGACACCAAUGUCACUCAGCUGUAGCUGGAGACAGAGAUCAAGGCUCUCAAGAGGAGCUGCUUUUCAUGAAAAAGAACCAUGAGGAGGAAGUAAAAGUCCUACAAGCCCAGAUUGCCAACUCUGGGUUGAUCGUAGAGGUAGAUGCUUCCAAAUCCCAGGACCUGAGCAAGAUCAUGGCAGACAUGCAGGCCCAGUAUGACGAGCUGGCUCGGAGGAACCAAGAAGAGCUGGACAAGUAUGGUCCCAGAAGAUUGAGGAGAGCAACACAGUGGUCACCUCACAGUCAACUGAGGUCACAGCUGCUGAGACAAUGCUGAGAUAGCUGAAGUAUAUAUAGUGUAGUCCUUAGAGAUCAAACUGGACUCCAUGAGAAAUCAGAAGCCCAGCUUGGAGAAUAGCCUGAAGGAGGUGGAGGCCCAUGAUGCCAAGCGGAUGGAGUAACUCAAUGGAGUCCUGUUGCAUUUGGAGUCAGAGCUGGCACAGACCCUGGCAGAGAGGCAGCGCCAGGCCCAGGAGUAUGAGGCACUGCUGAACAUCAAGGUCAAGCUAGAGGCUGAGAUCGCCACCUACCACUGCCUGCUUGAAUAUGGGGAGGACUUCAACCUUGGUGAUGCCCUGGACAGCAGCAACUCCAUGCAAACCAUCCAAAAGACCACCACCCACAGGAUAGUGGAUGGCAAAGUGGUGUCUGAGACCAGUGACACCAAAGUUCUGAGACAUUGAGACAGUAGAGCAGCGU